rnacentral:rRNA from 1 species
ACGGGAGGCAGCAGUGGGGGAUAUUGCACAAUGGAGGAAACUCUGAUGCAGCAACGCCGCGUGAGGGAAGAAGGUCUUCGGAUUGUAAACCUAAGUUAUCAGGGACGAAUAAAAUGACGGUACCUGAAGAGAAAGCUCCGGCUAACUACGUGCCAGCAGCCGCGGUAAUACGUAGGGAGCGAGCGUUGUCCGGAUUUACUGGGUGUAAAGGGUGCGUAGGCGGGCUUGCAAGUCAGGCGUGAAAUCCCGCGGCUUAACUGCGGGGCUGCGCUUGAAACUGUAGGUCUUGAGUGAAGUAGAGGCAAGCGGAAUUCCCAGUGUAGCGGUGAAAUGCGUAGAUAUUGGGAGGAACACCAGUGGCGAAGGCGGCUUGCUGGGCUUUAACUGACGCUGAGGCACGAAAGCAUGGGGAGCAAACAGGAUUAGAUACCCUGGUA